GGGUUGGGCCCGGCCCCGGCGUCUCGCUGGCACUUCCUGUUCAACCAGGCCCUGGGCUCGGCCCCAGAGAACGGCCGCGACUGGCUCUGCAGCAACGGCUCCCACCAGAGCGCCAGGCCUCGGGCGGGCAAGCUGAAAGGAGAAAGGGAAGGCCACUUUACGGCCAGCUGUCCAGCCCAAGUCGCUAGGGACUCCUGGCGGAAGUAGCUGUUCGCAACGAGUCAACUCAGGGCGGAAGCAGCCGCCCUGAAAACUCGGAAGACUGAGAGGUCAGGACCGGAAGUUGGUCCUCGCUGAGGUCCGCUGCAAAUGCUCCGGAAAUACAACCGGAACGGGAAAUUCUGUUCCAACGGGGAAAAAAACUUCUUUGCUUUCACGCCCUCCCGCUGCAGUCCUUAUCAGACAACGCCGGGAAGAGACUGGGGACACCAGGAUAAAAGAUUUACAGGUACAUUCAGCUACCAAUGACCACCCAGAAGUCUCCAGCCAUUGCCCUGAACAUGCCAUCACCUUGAGUUCAGCAGAGCCUCCACAAAGCAGACUUCCCCAAGCAGAAAUCACCUCAUGGAGAACAAAUUGCCCCUUGAAGCUGGAAGAAUUUCUCCAAGGGCCAUCUUGCAAAACCAGAACUGAGGUAAUGGUCAACCAGACGCUGGCCCACCGGAGCUCAUCCAUAAAGGCUGGUCUCAUUCUUUUCCUAAUGGGCCAGUCUGAUCCUCUCCACCAGAGCUGUGCCCUCUUCAGCUCCCCAAGCUGAAAUCCCUUCCUUAGCUUCUCUUACUUUCUAACUGCCUAAUAAAUCUGUCUAUGCCUUACACUAUCGUGUCUUGAAAUUAUUCCACGGGGUGAGCGAGGUCUCCAUCUCCUCUUUGGGAGGACCUCAUCACAUCCCAUCCAGUGACAGUACCUUGUCCCUUGACCUGUUGAUGCCUGUCAGCCUUCAGCUUUCCUCUUGGAGGUCACUGCUCUGGGAAGCUUUCUGAUUCUCCCUAUGACUGUGGGUACCACAUUAUCUCGGCUCCACGGCACCACAUAAUAGUAGCGCGUAGCAUUGAAUGUUACCGUGUUCCAGAUGUUAGGCUAAGUGUUUGUAUGUAUUGUCUCCUACAGUCCUCCCCACAGUGCUUGAGGCCGAUGCUAAGGGCUGAAUUGUGCCCCCCUUCAUGAGUUGGAAUCCUAACCCUAGGAACUGUAUUUGGAGAUAGCAUCUUUAAAGAGGCCCUAAUCCAGGACAACCAGUACCCUAAGAAGAGGAGAGUAGGAUGUAGACACGCACAGAGGGAAGACUACAUGAAGACACAGAGAGAGCAGCCAUCCACAAGCCCAGGAGAGGCCCCAUGAGAAACCAAUCCAUUGACACCUGAUCUUGAACUUCUGCUCUCUAAAAUUGUGAAGAAGUACUUUUCUGUGUUUAACCUAUCCCAUCGGUGACAUUCUGUUAUAACGGCCCUAGAAAACUACAGUAGUACAACUGGCUCUUAUUCUCCCUUUCCCAAUGUGGAAACUAAGGCAUGGAGAGCUUAAUAACUUUUCCGAGGUCAGAUGGCCAGAAGUGGUCCAGACCCAGACCCAGGCAGCCAAGUGCAGACUCAAUGAUGUUCACCACUGUGGUCCACUGCCACCCUGUGCAGCCUGAGUCCACUUUGGUUUCUCUCUGAUUUUGCCACUUAAUAAACAGGGUUGAGAGGGUCCUUCUUGCCUGUAGUGUCCCGCUCAUAAGCGCCUCGAGGGCAAGGACCAUAUCUUGAUUGAGGGAUGUGCAGCGCCUACCUAAGUGCCUGUUUUAUUGACUAGCUGCCUUGUACACAUUAACUUUCCAUAUUGCUCCCUGGCCUUCCCAGCCCCGGUCUGAGUGAAUUUAAAUAGGGUUGCAGACAUGCACGGUGGUGGGUGAUGGGAGUAGAGAAGGGUAGUGUGCACAUCAUCCCCACCUGCGGGAGUCAAGUUCAACCAGGUGAGUAACUUUUCAGUGACAAUGAUGCCGAUAAUUUCUUGCAUUUGGCCAGUGGGCUGCAGCUUGUAAAUGUUUUGAAAUCCUCUCUCACAUAGGAGCCUCUCUGUAACCUGGGGAAGCAGAGAGCAGAGGCGCUGUGCUAGCUCCAAGAAGCCCAGCAGUGGGGCGACACCCUCAGCAACACGUCUGAGUCCAAAGCCCAGGCCCCUGCUGUCCCACUAAUUGAAGUCGGACUUAUUUUGCCCACUUUUUGUCUCUUAAGAUCCUGAACUGUUGCUGAUGAAAAAAGGUAGCCUUUCUUAAUAAGCGAAGAAAAAGUAAGGGCUCACUGACUGGACAAAAGGGAAGCUGCGGGCACAAUGAGAGGGCGGUCAGGUCUGUGUCCAGAUCCUGCAUGCUCAGAGCUAUGCUCCCAGGCCUCAGCUACUGAGCCUCUUCAUUUUUGAGACCAAGCAGAGUGGGAUCCUGGCACCUGAGAGGAAAGUGGCAAAGUGGAAAAGAGAAUUGUUGGCACUGCUACAUAAAAACUCACUCCAAACAAUGGCUUAACCCGUGAGCUGGUGAAUGGAGAUAAAACGGGCUGGGUGAACCGGCUGGUGUUCUCGCUCUCUCUCCUCUCGGUCCUCUCCCUGGUUCCCCAAGAGUUCCUCAGUAUCAAGCUGUGUGGCAGCCUCAGGCCAGCAAGGCAGAAUUGGUGGCAGAUGGAGUUGAAGGUGUUGGGAGCAAGUGCUCCCUAGAGCACAGCGGAAGCUGCAUCCCCUUCCCUUGCUGGGCAGGGACGCAGUUGUCCAAGCGGACAGCUCCCCGUAUAUGCGGGCAGUUGAGGCCUCCGGAGGACGUCAGGAGACUCCGCACACUGUCUUGGCUUUUCUGCUCAUGGCCAUAAUGAAACAAUCUAGGAAUAUGCAAUUACAAGUAAUUGGACAUAAUUAAAAUAAAGAGACAAAUCUAAAAUAAAGGCCUAAUUGAGGAGUAAGAAAAUUAACUAGGUGGGAUUGUCAAGGAUGCUCAUUCGGGGAUGACUGCCGGGUUUAUGGUGCUGUCACUGAACGUCAGUGGGGGUCAGUGUCCACUGAAGGGGCUCAGGCUGCCCUCGGCCUGUGGCCCCACCUCCCUGGCUCCGCACGUCGGGUUUUCUACAACACUGUCAUGAAGCUUGUGUGUAAUUCUAAAUGUGGCAUACAGAUUUUGUUUCAGCCCUUUGAUUUGUUUAAUAGACUGUGACAACCCUGUCACUUGCCCCCUGGCUUUCCUCCACUGUCCUUUCUUCUUUUCCUCCCUCUUUCUUUCUGAGAUGACCCGAGAAGAGGACAGAUCUAUAAGCAACACUCACGGAAAGCUGAGGUAUUGUGAAGAGCAGCAGAGCUUCGCAGUGGGGGUCUCUGGUGGUCAUCACCAUCACCAAGUGACAACACCAGAAGCCCGGACACUCAGAGCUCCUGACCAGCUGUGAGAGGCGCACCUGGGCCUGGGGAACCCUCGUUCCCAGCAUGCUGAUGGAAACUCUGAGCCUGAAGAAGCCAUCAGACACAGCCACGAGGUGGGGACUAAAGGGCGGUUGGCUUGGACUCUCCUAAGAAUCCAAUCCCAUGGAAAACAAAACCAAAAAAAGUGGAAAAGGCAGGAGGAGCCAGGGAUGGGGGCAUGUGCCUGUAGUCCCAGCAUUUGGGAGGCUGAGGCAGGAGGAUCACUGGAGCCCAGCUGUUAAAGGUCAGCCUGAGGAAAAGUGAGACACAAUCUCAAAAAAAUGUUUUUUA
rnacentral:lncRNA from 1 species